rnacentral:rRNA from 1 species
GCCUACGGGAGGCAGCAGUGGGGAAUAUUGCACAAUGGGGGGAACCCUGAUGCAGCGACGCCGCGUGGGUGAAGAAGUCAUUCGUGACGUAAAGCUCUAUCAGCAGGGAAGAAAAAAAUGACGGUACCUGAGUAAGAAGCACCGGCUAAAUACGUGCCAGCAGCCGCGGUAAUACGUAUGGUGCAAGCGUUAUCCGGAUUUACUGGGUGUAAAGGGAGCGUAGGCGGCGCGUUAAGUCUGAUGUGAAAACCCGAGGCUCAACCACGGGAGUGCAUUGGAAACUGGCGGGCUGGAGUGCCGGAGAG